CACAUCUUUACACCUGGAAUUUAAGAUCCCUUUUAGGUUAUUAGUUAGAAAGUGUAAGUUGUUUUCUCCCCAUCUUCAAGGAUUUAUCUACCUUUGGUCUUUGAUGUUGGUGAUCUUCAGAUGGGGUCUCUGAGUGGACAUCCUUUUUAUUGAUGUUGAUACUAUUCCUUUCUGUUUAUUAGUUUUGCUUCUAACUGUCAGGCCCCUCUGCUGCAGGUCUGCUGGAGUUUGCUGGAGGUCCACUCCAGACCCUGUUUGCCUGGGUAACACCAUCAGAAGCUGCAAAACAGCAAAGAUUGCUGCCUGUUCCUUCCUCUGGAAGAUUUGUCCCAGAGGGGCACCCGCCAGAUGCCAGCCAGACCUCUCCUGUAUGAGGUGUCUGUCAGCCCCUACUGGGAGAUGACUCCCAGUCAGGAUGCACGGGGGUCAGGUACCCACUGACGAGGCACUCUGUCUCUUAUCAGAGCUUGAACGCUGGGCCAGGAGAUCUGCUGCUCUCUUCAGAGUUGUCAGGAAGGGAUGUUUAAGUCUGCUGAAGCUGCACCCACCCACAGCUGCCCCUUCCCCCAGGUGCUCUGUCCCAGGGAGAUGGGGUUUUAUCUGUAAGUCCCUGACUGGGGCUGCUGCCUUUUUUUCAGAGAUGUCCUGCUCAGAGAUGAGGAAUCAUAAGCAAUUAGAUCUUUAAAAUGACUUUACAUUAGCCUACUUUCUUCCCAUAUGUACCAUAUAUAUGGUAUAAUCUGUAUGGGAAAGGAGGCAUUUCAAGGUUUAAAAGAAUAUAAAUUUUGGAUUUAAUGUUUUUGAUCUUAACAUAUUUGUGUCUCAACAGGGAAGACAAUUAGAAAUGUAACAAGAGGGUUCUAUUUGAUUCAUUUAAAAAAUGGAAAGUGGCACCCAGGGUGAGGCUGGCAUGUCAAACAAUUACUGAGAGCAAUGCCACCAUUUGCCUUUGUGUGUGUGUGUGUGUGUGUGUGUGAAUUAGGAUCUGUUUUUUAAUGGUCACUCUAUUUACAUAGUAACAUUCCUUGAAGCAAUAUAUGCAGAUUCAUUCUCGACAUAAGUUUUUUUGCUUUUGCUAAAAUAGUUUUUGCUUAAAAUUACUCCCUCUCUUUUCUGGCUACAACUACUUCCCAUCUUCUCCUUGAUUUUUUCAAUGACUUAGGAAAAGAUUAACAUGAUUUAAGUCCCGUUUCUCAUGACUGUAAUUACAAGACUAGUUUAGUUCCACUUUCUUGUAGACGAAUUCCUACAUUUUGCUGAUGUUUUGGCCCAUUCUUAUAAACUCCACUGUCUGGGGAGCAGGAAGCAUUCUGACAAAUUGUCUCUUUGGGAACAGAAGUAUAUUUUAUUGAGUCAAUUAUCUUGAUAAAUCACGUUAUAUUUGAGUUUUUGUAGUUUUGUGGAUAAACAUUUUUACUUGGAAUCCCUUUGUUGUUCACUGUGUUAGCACCCAUGAUUCAAACAAUCCUUGAUCUUGUCAUUAGUAGUAUAUGUAGAGAAGAAUUCACUGUAGGAAUUUAAGAAGUGACUUUUCAACACAGCUUCUCUAAUACAGUAUUUAAUAUCCCACACAUAAUUCAAAAUAAAAGUAAGAAAUAAAAGUCUAUUGGAAAGACUUAGCACAAAAUUCAGUGUAAGAUUCCAUGUAAGAAAUAUUGAUUAGAACAUAUUCUACGAGAGUCUAGAGAUGAGGUUUAUGUCUCAAAUGUUUGUUUUAAGCUUAUUAGAAAUACCAUCUAUUAGUAAAAAUUACUUCUUUGGAAUGAGAUGAGAAAAUUCUGAAUAUGGACUCAGAUGCCAAAAUAUGUUAAUAGCAUAAAAUACAGACAUGAACUGAGAAGGCGGUUUCACCAAAGACACAAGAGAAAUUAAAUCACAUACAUUUUACAAUGUAAACUAAAAUAGACUAUACAAAAAUACCUUGCUAACAGAGAAAUGGGUCAUCAGUCUGUUGUUGUUACUUUUUUUGUUGCUGUUUCUUAAUGGUUACUUAAUACCUACCUGUAGUGCAAUUAUAUGUUGUAGAAUUCUGUCACAAAAAAAAGGCCUAAACCAACGGGAUGACUUAAAAGAAAAAUAAACAUUUCAAAGAUUCAAGUAAUUUAUCAGGAAAUACUGAAAGUACAUCCUAUAAUUUUUUUUAAAACUUGAAAAUUGCACCUCACAUUUUGUCUGGAGAGUUAGGCAACAUCUGUAUUUUUCAACUUUGUCAGUUAUUCAGGACCUAUUACAGACCACACAACUUUGAGCUUUGAAAGAAAUCCACAGAUAUAUAAUUUAACUCAUUGUGUAGCUAAGGAAAUAGGACUGAAGAAAUUAAUGAUUUACUGGACAUCAAGUUACAUGUAAGCCGAUUUUUAACCUAGAUUUCCAAAUGUCCACUCCAAUGCUUUCACCACUAUUGCCUGGUAGGUAUCACAUAUUAUUAAGUUUGUUUUGUGUUUUAUGGAUUAUAUUUAGCAUAAUUCUGAGACUUAGAAGAGGUUCAAUAAAUGCUUAUUACAUGUAUAAAUGAAAAAUGGCCUGGAGGUAGCAUAAGUCAAUAUUCCAUUUUUCAUCAUAGCUUUCAUCAAACAAAUCUUAUAUUUAUUCCUGGAAUCUAUUGCACACCACAAAUCAAAUGUGCAUAGCAAAUAGAUUUUUUUUAAACCUAGCCCGGCCAAAUUGAUCUUGAACUUCUCCGUGCUUGUUCAACAAUUCUGGUGCAGAGUUUAAAAAACUUGUAGGUUUUAUUUUGAGGUUACAAGUUUCAGUCUGGGACUGAAAAGAUAUAAUAGUAAUCUGCAAAGUUCAAGGAUGUGUAAUUCUGGGAGCUCAGAAAGAAUUCAUAGCUCUUGUUCUCAGGAGCUCUGCAAACAAAGAUGCCAAAGGCAUAUCAGAUUGCCUUCUAAUACAGGGAGUAACAAGUAACAAUGACACAUUGAUUGCUUACUUAUGAAAAUUAUUUCCAUAAUGAUAUAAUAUUAGAAGACAAAUUCAGCUGCCUGACCUGCACAGGAGAUUGAAUUGAACGUAGGGUGUUAAAUCAGAGUGGAGUAGGGUUUGAAAAAACAGAAUAAAAGCAAUACCUAGGAAAACUACUGGGGUAGGGCAGAACAUGAGUUCUGAAAUAAGAAGAUCUGAACUUGAAAUGCUUCUUUACUGUGCAAUGUAGACAAUAUAAUCUGCUGAGCUCAAUUAGCUCAUGUAUAACCUGGAGUGAAGAUGCCUGUCUUGUACGGUUAUUGUAAGGAUAAAACAGGAUUCGGGGGAGAACCAGCCAGUGUAGGCAUUACCCAUUUUUGUGUUGUUUCAAAUAUAUUUUUUAUAUUUUAGAUACGUGUGUGUGCGUGUGUGUGUGUGUGUAUGUAUGUGUGUGUCUUCAUUGCUACAUUGAACAGUUUGACCCUAAGUAACUCACAAAUAGCAUUCUAGAGGUGCUUCAAAAAUACUAAGGAAGUCUAACCUUCUAGAUGUUAAAAUACAACUUUUAUACUGGUUCUACUUGCCUUCAAUGGAAAUUAUUGAAGAAAAAAUCAGCUGGGAAUGAGAAAAUAAUAAAACUGCUUUGAAAUGAUGAAGUAAAGAAAGUAGCUUGGAAAAAACAUGCCUGAAGGCAGGUCACAACUUGAAAUACAGUUACUAUGUUCCAUAAUGGGCAGAGUAAUAGAGUGUGUCUAAAGUACAACCAAAGUAGUCUAGUACACCACAAUAUCACAAUAUCCAGUAGUCCCCCCCACCUCUCUCUUUAAGCUCCCUCUGUCCUUUCUCUCUCUUUUCUGUCUUCUCUCUCUCUCUCUCCUCUCUCUCUGUACACUCUCUUUCUUCUCUCUGACUCCUCCCUCUCCUCUCUGACUCCUCUCUCUCCUUUCUCCUCCACCCUAUUCACAGGUUGGAUAACGUUUCUGAUUUAUUUGACAAAGGAUAUAGCUAUUCAGCUAGAAUGCAUGAGCCACUGAGAGCAAGUACGAAGCCAGUACACCUUGGCGGAGCUUCGUGAGGCCCAUCAGAUUCUCAGGUUGGAAUGCCAGGAAGUGUUGUUAGUGUUAGGAAGAUUCCAUGUGUAAGGCAGGAGCUCACUAGAUCUGAAGAGCUUAACAUAUGGCUGUACCAUAACUCUUUUUCAAUAGGGCUUACAAUGUUCUUUAGGGCAGCAUGUAGAUUUAAUAUUUCUAUUAAAGGGAAUGCUUGCAGACAUUAGGAGCCUCCAGGUUUUUAAGUCAACACAGCAUCAGGACCAUAUUGUUAUCCUGUGAAGAGCAAGGUGGCUGAUUUCUCUUCUUAUAUCCAGAUACAUUCUGGAUAAUCCAUUCCCCACAGUUACAGUCUGACUCUGGAUUUUGGAAUAUCUUUUUAUGAAAUGGAUAGGUCUGAUAAUGAAUUGGGUAAUUGGGUCUUAGGACUAGAAUCUUAAAUCCAUUCUCAAUUUUUAUGAAGUCACCAACCUUUUACACACAUGCUUUAAAAAAACCUGUCUACGAACAGAAACUCACUCCUGUGCUUAUCACCUGAUAGAAGAACAAAACUGAAUAUAAAACUCACAUAAUUUGUAUUGCUCAGUGUAUAACGCAUUAAAAACAAAUUUAUUUUUCUUUGAGGAAACUUUGUACUGCAUUCCCCUUUUUAAGAUCAUCAACUCGUUCCCCCUUUAAAUGCCUAAAUCAACACUAAUUAGAUUCGAGCAGCCAUUUCUUCAUGCUGGCCUUUUAUUUUUGUCCUCUUAUUUUUUCCCUUAACUCACCUAAAUCUUCCUCUCCUUUUUUAUCUUUUCUCCCUUCCUCCCUCCUUAUUGCACAUAAUUCAAAUAUCAAAAAUAUAAAGUUAUUUAAUGAAACAUUGCUUCCCCACUAGCUCUCUACUUUCUCAGUAUAUAUCUUGCCUCCUUCAUUACUCGGGUAAUCACUAUCACUUGUUUCUUUUUUCACUUAUAAAGAAUUUUUAUAUAAAUGCAAACCAAUAAAACAGGAAAUUUCAUUUCGUCUUUUAAAACUACAAGUAAUAACAUAUUAUACACGUUUUAUUCAACAACAGAUUGUAUUCAACCUUCUGCUGUUAAGAAGAGUUGCAAUAAAUAACCUCAUACAUGCAUCACUUCACACAUAUUAAUUAUAUCUCAAGAUAAUUCCUAGGUGUCACUUUGAUAAAUAUUACCAAAAUGCUCACCAAAGAUGCUGUACCAAUUUAUACUCUCAUCAGCCAUAGAUUAAAAUCUAUCCCAAAAUUCUUCCAGUUGAAUAUGUCAUGAACUUUUGGAUUUUUACCAAUCUGAAUGGGAAGAGGGAAACAUGUUUUUUCAGUGUUGUUUAAAUCUGUAUUUCUGUGUUGUGAAUAAGGUUAAAUAUCUUUUAAAAUAUUUUUAAAAAACUAUAUUUGCAUUCCUGUGAACUGUCUUUGCAUAUUCUUUGCCCACUUUUUUCUUUUGGGCUGUUGAUGAUUUUCUUAUCAAGUGGUAGGUCUUUAUAUGCCAGGAAGAUUAAGCUUUUGUGACAAAAAUUGGGAAUAUAUUUUUAAAUUUAGUUUGCCAUUUGCCUUUUUGACUACAUUGAUAAUGUUUAUUUUAUGUGUUGCCAUGCAAAAAUUUAAUUUUUAUGUAGUCAAAUGUAUUCAUUUUUUUCUCCCUACAGCCUCUGAAUAUUAUAUCAUAAUGAGAAAGUUUUUGUUUCUAAACUGAGGCUAUAAAUUAAUUCUUUCAUGUUUUCUUCUAUGAUUUUGUAUUCCAUAAUAAAUAUUUAACUUAUUUAAAUAUUUCUUCUAGGCCAGGUGCGGUGGCUCACACCUGUAAUCCCAGCACUUUGGGAGGCUGAGGCAGGUGGAUCACCUGAGGGCAGGAGUUUGAGACCAGCCUGACCAACAUGGUGAAACCCCGUCUCUACCAAAUACAAAAAGUCAGCCUGGUGUGGUGGCACAUGCCUGUAAUCCCAGCUACUUGGGAGGCUGAGGCAGGAGAAUCGCUUGAACCUGGUUGGGGAAGUUGUAGUGAGUCAAGAUUGUGCCAUUGCACUCCAGCCUGGGCAACAAGAGCUAAAAUCCGUCUCAAAAAAAAAUAAAAAUAAAUAAAUAAACAAAUGUUUCUUCUAGUAUAUAGUCCAUAUUCUGAGAUAGGCACCCAAUUUUAUUUUUUCUCAUUGGCUAUCUAGUUAUACCUACAUCUUGGUAUUAUUAAAAAGUCUAUCUUUUGGAGACUUCCGCUCCUGGGAAGAUGGAAUAGAGGUACAUUUCCCCCUUUCUCUCCCUAAGGAAAACUAAAAUUCUUGGACAUCAUUUGUAAAAUAAACAUGAGAAGACUCUGACAAGCAGAGACAAAGAUAUAAUAAUAAUGUCAUUGGAGCCCUGGAGUGAAGGAUAAAGAAGGCAUUGCUAAAUAAUUAAUUUAAGAAAUAAUGGCUGACAAUUUCUCAAAUUUGUCCAAAGCCAUAAACCUACAGAAUCAGGAAGCUGUGUGUAUUCCAAUUAGGGUAAAUCCCAAAAAACCACACCAAGACACAUGAUUAUCAAGCUUGUAAAAACUAAAAACGGGAAAAAAUCUUGAAAAGACCACAGUUACAUUAUCCCAUUGAGGGGAGACUUCUUAUCAGAAACCAUGAAGGCCAAAGGGGUGAUAUUUUGUUUCUCUCAGAAUUCUAUAACCAGCAAGCAUGUAAUUUGGGCUUUUAGAUAUAUUUAAGAUAUAUUUUAUCACAUUAAGAUGAGUCUACCUAAUACUGUAUUUUAAAAGAUUAUAUUCCAAGAGUGGAUUUUUAAUUGUCAAUCUUUGUGGAACACUUAGUUUAAUGUUGUGGUUCUCAAAGUUUUGGCUUCAGAACAACUUGUUUAUAACCUUAAAAAUUAUUGAGAACCCCAAAGGCUUUUGUUUAUUUAGUCUGUAUCUACCAAUAUCUUCUAUAUUAAAAAUUAGAACUGAGAUACUUAAAAAAUAUGUAUUAAUUUAUUUCGGAAUAAAGAUAAUAAACUCAUUACAUAUUAACAUAAAUUCAUAUAUUUAAAAGUACACUUUUCAAAGCAGAAAUGUCUCAUGAGAAGAUUGGCAUUGCUCUACAUUUGCUAAUCAUUUCAAUGUCUGACUUAAUAGAACACAGCUGGAGUCUCAUGUAUGUUUCUGCAUGCAAUCUGUUUUAGUAUAUUAUUUUGGUUGAAGUUUAUGUAGAAAAUCUGGUUUCACGCAGAUAUAUAGCUACAAAGUACAGAGUAUUUGAAUAGAUUUUUCAGAUAAUUGUAAAUAUCCUUCUUUGACAUGUCACUGAAACUCAACAUUAAAUAUUAAUAUUUAAAUAUUUUUAAGUAUUAACAUAUAUAUGGAAUAUUAAACCAUAUCAAUGAAAUUUUGGUAUUAUGUUACAUUAAAGUCCAUUGUCCAUUUUGUACUUCAAAUAGAUCUUUCCUCUCUUUGUGCUUUUGUGAAAUCACACUUUGGUCAUUUGAAAAAUACAGGUUCACUGACUUACACAGAGUUUCUAAAUAUUGACAUAUUUUAUUAAAUAACAUAAAGGAGGCUUUACUGACAUCAUCAAUGAUCUCAUCAGAAAAAUCUUCGCAUAUUGGAAAACUGAGAAGCUCAAAGUAGUAUAUAGAAUUUUUUCAAGAUUCUAAUUUCUGCUUAGUGUUUUUUCUUUAAGAGGCUCACUUGGUUCAUUUUUGAAAGUAUGUCUCCUAAAUAUGAGAAUCAGAUUAACCAUGGGCUGUCAAUUAUUCUUUCAAGUAAAGAUGGUGCUUCAUGAAAAGAAAAUCUGGUUCCACUUACAGCUGAAACAAUUGUCCAAGUACAUUUCCUUAGGAUAAUUAUCAUUCCUUGGUAUGUAGAAGUAUUCCAUGGACCUCCAUUUUGUUAUACAGAAUUUUGAAAAGACAUUCCUCAAGGACUGAAGUAUAAUAAGGUUAGGAUUUUUAAAAAUUUUUAAUUUUAGUGGGUUUAUAGUAGGUGUAUAUAUUUAUGGAGUACAUGAAAUAUUUUGAUACAGGCAUAUAAUGUGUAAUAAUCGUGAUAAUAAAGGAGCUAUC
rnacentral:lncRNA from 1 species